GAUGAACGCUGGCGGCGUGCUUAACACAUGCAAGUCGAACGAAGCAUUUGCGACAGAUUUUUUCGGAAUGAAGUUGCUUAUGACUGAGUGGCGGACGGGUGAGUAACGCGUGGGUAACCUGCCUUGUACUGGGGGAUAGCAGCUGGAAACGGCUGGUAAUACCGCAUAAGCGCACAAUGUUGCAUGACAUGGUGUGAAAAACUCCGGUGGUAUAAGAUGGACCCGCGUCUGAUUAGCUAGUUGGUGAGAUAACAGCCCACCAAGGCGACGAUCAGUAGCCGACCUGAGAGGGUGACCGGCCACAUUGGGACUGAGACACGGCCCAGACUCCUACGGGAGGCAGCAGUGGGGAAUAUUGCACAAUGGAGGAAACUCUGAUGCAGCGACGCCGCGUGAGUGAAGAAGUAAUUCGUUAUGUAAAGCUCUAUCAGCAGGGAAGAUAGUGACGGUACCUGACGAAGAAGCUCCGGCUAAAUCCGUG
rnacentral:rRNA from 1 species